GACGAACGCUGGCGGCGUGCUUAACACAUGCAAGUCGAACGGAAAGGCCCUGCUUUUGUGGGGUGCUCGAGUGGCGAACGGGUGAGUAACACGUGAGUAACCUGCCCUUGACUUUGGGAUAACUUCAGGAAACUGGGGCUAAUACCGGAUAGGAGCUCCUGCUGCGUGGUGGGGGUUGGAAAGUUUCGGCGGUUGGGGAUGGACUCGCGGCUUAUCAGCUUGUUGGUGGGGUAGUGGCUUACCAAGGCUUUGACGGGUAGCCGGCCUGAGAGGGUGACCGGCCACAUUGGGACUGAGAUACGGCCCAGACUCCUACGGGAGGCAGCAGUGGGGAAUAUUGCACAAUGGGCGGAAGCCUGAUGCAGCAACGCCGCGUGCGGGAUGACGGCCUUCGGGUUGUAAACCGCUUUCGCCUGUGACGAAGCGUGAGUGACGGUAAUGGGGAAAGAAGCACCGGCUAACUACGU
rnacentral:rRNA from 1 species